UUUAACGGCCGCGGUAUCCUAACCGUGCAAAGGUAGCGUAAUCACUUGUCCUUUAAAUAAGGACCCGUAUGAACGGCUAAAUGAAGACUCAUCUGUCUCCUUUAACUAAUCAGUGAAACUGAUCUAUCAGUACAAAAGCUGGUAUAAAACCAUAAGACGAGAAGACCCUGUGGAGCUUUAAAACCUACACCAAGACCAAAUAACCCACCAUAGCAUAAUGGCCUAACGUUUUAAGUUGGGGCGACUUCGGAACAAAACAAAACUUCCGAGCAUAAGACAACAUCUCCCUAAGACCUACAAGUCAAASCAAAACUUGACCCAGUAAAACUGAUAACCGAACCAAGUUACCCCAGGGAUAACAGCGCAAUCUUCUUUAAGAGUCCAUAUCGACAAGAAGGUUUACGACCUCGAUGUUGGAUCAGGACACCCAAAUGGUGCAGCCGCUAUUAAAGGUUC
rnacentral:rRNA from 1 species